CGUUGAAAUAGUGUUAUUUUGCCAACGUUAAUAAAACGUUGUUUUGUCAAUGUUGGGGAAGUGGCACAUUAAAAAUUAUUGUCUCAAUAACUAGCCAUUACAAAAAUAAUUUGCCGUAAUGAAAAGGCAAGGAAAACUUAAUAGAAUGCAUGCAUAUGGUUUGAAGCGGAGGCAGUUGUUCCAUCUUGUUCGGUAAAAGAUGGAUGCUUAUUUUGGCCAACUGGUGUUCAUGCAAUGAAAGCUACCUAAAGUAAUUUACCAAUUAAUGAUUCCUGCAACAAGCUUAGAAUUAAAAGAGUGAAAGUAACUGGAGGUAAGGAAGGAUGUGAAGGAUUUAAUUUCACGACUGCAGAGGACUCCAAAGAAGAGUAUAAUGAAGUUAUGGUGGAUCAAAGAUCAAGAAAUGAUAUGGUUUUAACUGGUUUCCAUAUUAUGAACGAAGUACAUAAUAUGAUUUAAAUUGAUGAAUUAUAGUUACACCUAUUGAAAUUCUGUAUCUCAAUGAUAUCCUGGCUUAUCGAUACGAUAUCCUGUAAAUCCACUCACACACAUAAAUUUUACUUACACACAUAAAUCCUGUAAAUCCACUCACAAACAUAAAUCAUAAAAAAG